AUUGAACGCUGGCGGCAGGCCUAACACAUGCAAGUCGAGCGGUAGCACAGAGAGCUUGCUCUCGGGUGACGAGCGGCGGACGGGUGAGUAAUGUCUGGGAAACUGCCUGAUGGAGGGGGAUAACUACUGGAAACGGUAGCUAAUACCGCAUAACGUCGCAAGACCAAAGUGGGGGACCUUCGGGCCUCAUGCCAUCAGAUGUGCCCAGAUGGGAUUAGCUAGUAGGUGGGGUAACGGCUCACCUAGGCGACGAUCCCUAGCUGGUCUGAGAGGAUGACCAGCCACACUGGAACUGAGACACGGUCCAGACUCCUACGGGAGGCAGCAGUGGGAAUAUUGCACAAUGGGCGCAAGCCUGAUGCAGCCAUGCCGC
rnacentral:rRNA from 1 species